CCUACGGGGGGCAGCAGUGAGGAAUAUUGGUCAAUGGGCUUACGCCGGAACCAGCCAAGUCGCGUGAGGGAAGACUGCCCUAUGGGUUGUAAACCUCUUUUGUCAGGGAGCAACGCCGGCUACGUGUAGCCGGACUGAGAGUACCUGAAGAAAAAGCAUCGGCUAACCCCGUGCAAGCAGCCGCGGUAAUACGGAGGAUGCGAGCGUUAUCCGGAUUUAUUGGGGUGAAAGGGUGCGUAGGAGGAAUGCCAAGUCAGCGGUAAAAUCGCGGGGCUCAACCUCGCUCCGCCGUUGAAACUGGCGUUCUUGAGUGGGCGAGAAGUAUGCGGAAUGCGUGGUGUAGCGG
rnacentral:rRNA from 1 species